UUUAAAGAGACAGUGGUUCGUGCGUCGCGGUCAAAAUCUCGGCCCCCGCCGACAAAAGAAAGUCGCCCGUACUUCCUCCCACGUCCCCACGUCGCCCAACCCCAAACAGACUCGCUCUCUGGCCUCGGCUCGGCACCUAGCGCCUCGCUCUCCGCCCCAUCCAUGUCGUCCGGUGAGCUGCCGCUGCCUUCUCGCGUCUCCGCCCGGCUGCCGGUCUCCGCCCUGCGCCUCCGCUCGCGCUCCACCCGCGCUUCCGCUCUCCGCUCUCCGUCCGGAAGCCGGGCGCUGCUGCUCGCCUCUGCUUCCGCUCCAUUCACGCCAGGCUGCCGAACGCCGUCCCGCGCCUCCGCUCCCACCCCGCCGCCGGGCGCCGUCCAGCGCGUCCGCUCCGGUCCCAUCCGCAGCCCGGACGCCAGGAGCCGUCCCACGCCUUCCCUCGCCCGUCCUCGCCCUCCGUCGCUCGCUGGACGCCGCCGCCGAUGGACCAUGCCGCCGCCGCCGCCCUCCGCACUCGUGUCGUCGCGCUCCUCCUCUCUUCCCUAUAACUGCGGGAUCUCCGGGCUGGUUCCCUUCCCCGCCGGGGUUCCAAUCGCCGCCACCGAAUGCCCCCCACGCGCGUGGCAUAGCCUUGCUGCGACCGCCCGCAAGAACCUCUGGUGGUUGGGGGUGGCCCGACGCUUCGAUUUUGCUUCGAUUUUUGCGGGGGAGACGGUUUCGAUUGAGAGGACCCUCGCUUCCCCCUUUCCUCCGACGAUUGGCUUCGUUUGGUGACUCGGGGGGAUGGGGCUGCAGCAGUCCUAGGAGGUGCUGUUGUACCAGCAGGUCAACUACGGCAACGUCGACGGGAUUGGCUCUCAAGUGGAUUGACAAGGAAGGCAAGACACCCCUGAUGGUCGCCUGCAUGAGGCCUGACCUACUCAACGUGGCCAGGUGCUCAUCGAGUUCAGAGCCAAUGUGAAUGCCUACCGCCCUGCUGAAGCCAGGUUAUUAUGCUCACUCAAGCUGAAGUAAUUUAUUUAAAUACUACCAAGCAUUUUGGGAGAAGGGGGUGGGGGUGGUUAAACUGCUCACUUGAGUAGCCAAUUAGGGUAGAUUUCGGGCAAGCAAGGGUCACAUUGUGGGACUGCAUCGCACCAUGCUGCCAAGAAAGGCUCAACGAGACUGUCCAUUUACUCCUCUCACAUGGAGAUAGCUUAUGGGGGAAGUAUGCUAUAGACAUUCGGUUUCUGCAAGAGAUAAGGAUAUAGACUUACAUGAUGUGCUCAUCUCUUGACACCCAAUGCUGAAAGAAAGGCAAGUAAUACAAAUCUCUUUUACAAAAGUUAUGAACAAUUCGCAGUUAGCCCUAUAGAUAUUGCUGAAGACAUAAUCUUAUUAUGAUAUUCUUUUACUGAGAAAUAUGCAAUGUGGUGCCCUUAAUUUCAUUUUUCUGGAGAAAUGAUUUCCUCUUCAUGUUAUCUACUAGCUUAUAUGGGUCCUUAACUUGCAAUCAAAUAUUGUGCUGAUAACCUUUGUGUUGUGACAGUAUCAUGGUUCUUAGUUGUUACUCUAACCUUAUCAUGAUGCCAUCUUUUCAGAGAACAGAUAAGUAUUUAGGCAGUAUUGAAACCUGAAACAAAGUGGAUAAAUAACUUAAUGAAGCCCUGAAUGAGUUUGGAAUGCCAUGGCACAUACGUUUGCACACUAAGAAUAACCAUUUUCUCUUAAUAUUUCCAUGCGUUGCAUUGGUACACAAAGCGCUAAAAAUCCUACCAAGUAUAACCUUGGGCAUGUAGGACAGUGAUUAAUGGGGCUCAUGGAUUCUAGGUGGUCCUAUCCUUUGGGAAGGAAUGGACACCGAAAUGCCAUCAUAUCUCACUUAAAAAAUGCUCGGCCAACUCUAUGGCUGUUAAUACAGCAAUAAAUACUCCUGCUGAUCUCUGGUGAUGGAAUUGAGAUUAGAGUAUAAUGUCUAAUGAAAUUAGAGUAUAAUUCCUAAUCUUGGGACUGAAGCAUUGAGAUGCAAGAAUUAUCGAUAUGAUACUUCCUAAUUGUAGUCCUGAUGAAACACUCCCACUGGCUAAAAUUAGUAGCUGGAUACUCAAUCACUUAGCACAUAAAUGAUUGGUGGGUGGUCAUAGAAAGUAAAUACGUGAAAGAAAGGAAAAUUGUUCUUUUUGUGGUUAGAUUUGUAGACACGUGAACGAUGAUUCAAUGCGAAUCACGCACAUAUCAAAAUUUUCUUUGAUCCUGCAGAUGAACUCAUCAACUGCACUAGGAUUUCUCUCUUUUCUGCUACUGGGCUGGACUUCCUUACAAUGAAAUUACCGAUCGAUCAGAUAUUCUGAUUAAAUUAACUGCUUGUUUGAUUAAAAAUUAGCCUGGCCAAAGUAGUGAUCUCUUAUAGAAAUAUGUGGUCAUUUUUAUUCCUUCCGGAUGUAGCUCAGCAAGUCUCAGUCUGUACCAUCUUAAGGGUGAACGCCAUUCCAGAAAGAAAUAUUCUCUGCUCAAGUUGUAUUCAAACAAAUCACUAGCCUGAACAUUGUAUGUAAUAUCAAUCUGGAACCCUAUCUCAUGCAAAUGUAUUCUUUUCUGGCUAUCUGAUGAGCCAUGUACAAGUUUCAGUUUGUACAAUGUAUAUUCUCUGCGCGCUCAGUGAAAAAGCGACAAAUUGUGGUGUAUAUGCAAUGGCUAAGCUACUAAAAAGUAUUGGGGUAUGACAACAUCCAGUCGGGAUUUAGGCAGAUUGCUAAAAAUAAUAAUUAAUGUAUUUUGCUAAAAAAUAACUCACCUUUCAUAACUAUUGUUCAGCGGUCAUCAGAACGCCAACCAAUUUGGCGGUAUCGUGAGGCAUGCCCCACCUUACCUCCAUUUUCUGCUUGGUGAAAACAGUCAUGGCUGAGCACUUACUUUGAAUUAUUUGAUGCCCCAAAUCUGCACUAAAUGGUAGCUAAACAAGUCACCCACUAUAGCUCUCUCUCUCCGCUCUAAAUGGUUGUUUCUUUAUGAAGCACUGCCGCUGCAGGGCAGAACAAGCUUUUCACCUAUACUAAAUAUUUCUGCACACAUUUUUGAUCUGCUACUGAAUAUUCUAAAUCUAUCAUACUGUUCUGGUACCAUUAUCUAACAUAUUGAAGAAGUUCGAUGGUGAGACUGACAUAGGUUGUUCGGCCAUCCACACCCUGACCUUGACUGAAUCUCUAUGUGGCUUCCAAUUUGUUCUGACUCACUUCGAUAACAGGCAGCUGCUGAUCAAAUCAAAUCCUGGUGAAGUUGUGAGGCCUGAUUCUUUCAAGGCGAUUAAUGACGAGGGCAUGCCCAUGUACCAGAGGCCCUUCAUGAAGGGCAAGCCGUACAUCCACUCCUCGGUUGAGUUCCCGGACUCCUUGAACCCGGAGCAGUGCAAGGCCCUGGAGCUGUAGGCCGUGCUCCUGCCGAAGCCUAAAACACAAUACACCGACAUGGAGCUGGACGAGUGGAGAAAAUGCCGUAUGACGUAUUGAGGAAUAGAUGCGGAGUCGGCAGCAAUAGCACCAGGAGGCCUACGACGAGGAGGCAGACAUGCCUGGCGGCGCCUAGAGGGUGCAGUGCGCCCAGCAGUAGGUGGCUGGCGCCGCAGCAAGAAUUGUUUGAUGGUGGCGGCAAAUUUGUUUUUAAGCAUUGUGCGACUAUUGUUGGCUCCAAGUAUUAUCUCCGUACGAUAUACUAACGUGCACCACUUUUAAAAAUUAUAAACUAUAAUAUUGUUUAUGUA